rnacentral:tRNA from 1 species
ACAGGUUUGGAAUAGCGGUUCGAUGCGCUGUAGAUGUAGCUCGAAGCGAUUCUCAUCGAGCGCCUGUUCAAGUCGAGCAGCCCAUU